GUCAAAUCCCGCGAGACACUCACUUCACUGAGCCACCUGCAGCCCGCUGUGUGGUCACAGUAUACCAAUGGUAUGCGGGCGGAGCUGCUGAAUCAGGCGCCAGUUUCCCCUGCUACUCAGACCUCAGCGGUGGCGGCUUGGUAUGGCUGGGUUCUCCAGUCUCCCAUGGGCCCCCACAACAUUGUUGCCCAAGGACCCCCACAGACAUUAAUCUGGCCCUGAAAAUCAUACGCCCCCGCCUGCAACAGUUAUGAUCGCAUCCCUCGCCCCUGCUGACUUGCAGCUUGCCAUUCUCCUCACCGCCACCGGCCAUGUCCUGCUCACCGCUGCCGGCCACAUCCUGCACACCGCCGCCACCCACGUCCUCUUCACCACCGCCGCUCACGUCCUCUGCUGCCCAUGGCCUUCAACUCUGGACCGCCGCUGACUACACCCCCUCCGCUGCUCAGACCUUUUAACGACCCUUUUUACCUGGGGCGGACAAAAUUUAAUUGUCGGUGGAGACUUUAAUCUAGUGAUCGACCCAUCCAUGGACAGAUCCAGGGGAAAAAAGAGAAGGUUAAAACCAAAAGAGAUAGAUAUACGCCAAAUGAGGGAGUAUUCUGAUGGAUAUGACGAGGACAUUGACUUUUGAUCCCUAUGGUUCAACCAAUAUACCCUCAAUGUGUAGGAAGAUAAUUUCUACUUGUCUGGAUACAUAUUGGAUUGGACUAAAUGGUAAUGCUCUACAGAAAUGGACUGUAACUAUUAAGUUCAUUCAGACCCUUUGGAUGUAUGCUUUCCAUCAGGAAGAUCAUUUUAAUUUCAAACUUGAGGAGUUCUUGGUCUAAGUCACAUCUUCGUAUGCCCAAAUUUAUAUGUCUCAUCCCAAAGGCUCUCAAACCACUUGGAGAACUGUGGUGGUGCUACUGGAAAUGCCUUGCAACAGGGGAAAGGGUUUUGAAUUUCGCUGAAUCUCUGUUGGCAUUACGAAUAUUGCCCACGUGUUCCAAGAUCUGGACCUUCAAAGGUCAUGAUGUCUUGCCAAUAUAAGGUUUAUUACGUGGGCUUUCUAGAUGGUAAACUGUGCCUACAGUUGUACAUGUAAUUAGACCUGAUAUGGUCCAUUUUUUCUUGACUUUGUCCACAAAUCCUUUCAUAGGGGUCAUGUAUUGGCAGUGCCCGCAACUUAUACAUCCAUUCAUGCUGGUUUUAGUGUUGAUUUCUGACAUGUGACUAUGAACCAGAUGAUCUUUAAUGUUCCGUGAUUUCCUCCAGCUGGAUUGGACUCGGGAUGGUAAUAUUUGUUCCAAAUCUUUAUCGGUCUGCAGGAUGUGCCAGUGUUUCUGUAAAAUUGAGUUGAUGUUUUUACACUUUGCAAUAAAGGUCCCUAUAAUUAUA